CUGCUAAUUCCGGCAGCCUGUGACUGGAUUUGCUUGUGUUGCUCCUGCUCUACUAAGGGUGCAGAUGAAACUGAUCCGCGCUUAAGCUGAUCAGUUUUUGUACUACUACAAACAUGGAGUGGCGGCAGAUUGUGCUUGUGCUGUUGCGGUGCAGCAGAGCUAGAGUCUGGCUUAAUCUGGAGGUGUUGUUGCUGUGGUGCAACAGAAUCAGUUCUGUUACUUGUCAAAGAAGCAGGGGCAGUAGUACAUGUGUUAAUUUUGUCGAUGUUUGUAGUCUGGAAAGUCCCAAAUGAACUCUGAUGACAUCCUUUACUAGCCAAUAACAUCACUGCUCUAGCUUUGUCAGCUGGGAAAUCAUCAAAAACAAUCACUUUACCAUCAUAGAACAUAGUCAAUUGGGCUGCUUUAGGCUCCUUUGGUGCCUCUUUACUGAAAAAGGAAAGCAAACAUAAAUCAGCAUGUGAAAUUACUACUACACAUUCACUAUAUUAAACCCUAUUAUGUAUGCAAGCAGUUUAGUCUUUUAUCUUUUUUUUCAAAAAAAAUAGAGUAUGGAAGGGUAAAUGGGAGAAGCAAGGUGGGAAUCGAACACUAGUAACAAGGUGAAAGCCAAUAAACUAGAUUAGAAAGUAAAAGAUGUAAGAGUUUCAACUUUCAACUUCUACCGACAAUCUAAAAGUUUUUUCAUAUUAAUCGUUCAUAGCAAGUGUAAUUAUAACUUGAAAAUAAACUAGAUUACUUGCUAAAACAGGUCAAAAUACGGGGACGAACCUCG
rnacentral:lncRNA from 1 species